UGGCGGUCGUGACAAAAUGAAAAUGGACGAAAACGAUGUAAAUAUUGGAAACAAGUGGCGAUGAUAUCGUUUUGUGGGAGUAUUUAUGCAAAUCAAAACGACUAGAUUGAAGAAAAAACAUAUCUGAGUGAAUUGACAGAAGUUUGGUUGCCUGACAUUACGAAUUGUUGAAAAAAAACGAGCCGAAGCGAGAGCAGAAACGUUAAAGAUGAUGUAUGAAAAUGGUGCAGAAUUUCUUGAAGAUAUUUGCCAAUAAAGGUUUGAGUUGAGGAAGAUCAUUGAGUACAAAAAUGAAAAAAGUAAUUCGCCUUGAUAAUUUAGAAGGGGUUUAUUGUCCAUUCGAAUACACUUUACGACCCAUCAGAAUCAAGGAAAUUUCUAAUUUGUGCUACAAUAAAUAUUCGCUUAUA